rnacentral:rRNA from 1 species
CCAGACUCCUACGGGAGGCAGCAGUAGGGAAUCUUCGGCAAUGGGGGGAACCCUGACCGAGCAACGCCGCGUGAGUGAAGAAGGUUUUCGGAUCGUAAAGCUCUGUUGUAAGAGAAGAACGAGUGUGAGAGUGGAAAGUUCACACUGUGACGGUAUCUUACCAGAAAGGGACGGCUAACUACGUGCCAGCAGCCGCGGUAAUACGUAGGUCCCGAGCGUUGUCCGGAUUUAUUGGGCGUAAAGCGAGCGCAGGCGGUUAGAUAAGUCUGAAGUUAAAGGCUGUGGCUUAACCAUAGUACGCUUUGGAAACUGUUUAACUUGAGUGCAAGAGGGGAGAGUGGAAUUCCAUGUGUAGCGGUGAAAUGCGUAGAUAUAUGGAGGAACACCGGUGGCGAAAGCGGCUCUCUGGCUUGUAACUGACGCUGAGGCUCGAAAGCGUGGGGAGCAAACAGGAUUAGAUACCCUGGUAGUCCACGCCGUAAACGAUGAGUGCUAGGUGUUAGACCCUUUCCGGGGUUUAGUGCCGCAGCUAACGCAUUAAGCACUCCGCCUGGGGAGUACGACCGCAAGGUUGAAACUCAAAGGAAUUGACGGGGGCCCGCACAAGAA